ACAAGGUAAAACUACAGUACAGGCACAUUAGGGGUGUCUGAUAAAGAAAUCAUUACAAAGAUUCAAACAGAUAUUGGUGGAUGAAAAAAAUAUAAAAAUAAUAAUAAAAGUAAAAUAAAGGUAAAAAUGAAUAAAGAAAUAAAGAAAGAAAUUGUUGGUUUCAAUGACAGAUUAUUAGACCUCAAUUACCCAAGGGGAAGUGUGGUAGAUAAAUUGAAUAAAAUCAUAAUGUGUUAAUCCAUUUGUCACAAAAACAAUAAUACACUUAUACAGUAUUGCUUAGUUUUUGAUUUGCUAAAAGUAGUAACGCAUAUGCAGCCUGCUAAUUUAUAUUGAGUAAUGCUUAUAUAGUUCUAUCUAGUAGACUCAGUUUUCACCUUGAAUGUACAUAUCCUAUCAUCUGCUCAAUAGUUACGCAAGAGAAAAGACAGGAUGCUGAGAUGAGACAAUGUGUGAAAGUUGAAUGAUGACAUUAGAAGAAUGUCUGCAAAAGUUGUGUCAAAGGUCAGAGAAUAUGUUGUGCCUGAUGGAAAGAAGUAGACACAAGAGUGUUGAGGAAUUUCUGUCCUCCAGCGAGCCAGAGGUCUCGUCAAUAUUGAGCUCUUAUAAUAAAUACUUCUGCUGAAGACAUCCACGUUCUCCGACUUCUUGAAUCAGCGUAAACUCCAUAAAUUUUUCCACCACAAAGACAAUAUGUGCUGUCCAGUGUUUCCUCUAGGAUUUUUUCAGCAGCGGGGGCUGGCCAUUCAAACUCAUAAAAUCAUCUAACGCGUCAUGAAAUGCUAAGCUAAGGGGGAUCCCUACAAAGCACUGCUUGAAUAGUUAAAUGAAAAUUAAGCUGAAAGAUUAUGUCUAUCUAAUUGCAAAAAAAAACGACCAACGAGUGGUCCAGAAAGCUGAAAAAAUAAUAACUCAACCCAACCAAGCAUCUUUCCAGUGAAUUUUUAGUCAUGCCGGCGCUAUUUUGUGCCUGUACGGAAAACUAAUCGUUAUGCCUAUUCCUUUUUUCCUUCAGCUUUUAGGAUACUAAACGCAACCCGCUGAUCUGUGCACUUGUCACUUGUCAUGAUCCGCUGACUGUUAGUUAUAGUCGACUCUCAUCUCUAGUUUGUUUAUUUUAUUAUUCCCCUUAGUUUCUUGAUCCCCUUUUGUUGUUUCCUGUUUUAUUUUGAAGUCCUUUUCCUUAUGCUGCUCCACUUCCUUUCCCGUGUCUUGUUUCUGGUGUCUUUACUUUUCCUGUGUCUCCUGCCCCUGUGAUUGUCUGCACCUGUUCCUAAUAUGUCUCACCUGUGUUCAAUUUGCCCCGCCCACCUUGUGUCUAUUUAGUCUCUGUGCUUCCGUUUGUCUGUGAUUUUCCCCCUGGUCUGCUCCUGUUGAUUUCCCCCUGGUCUGCUCCUGUUGAUUUCCCCCUGGAUCCAGUGUUUUGCUACUGACUACCUUUUGCUACAUUUUGUGGACACUCUGAGUUGGUUUUCCUUUUUACUUUGGAAAUUUGUUGGUUUUGUUUUAUUUUAUAUUCUCUCCACCUCUGCUUUUAGGUCCAGUUCCUGCUCAAUCCUGCCAUCACUGGCUUGAUUAUGAUGUUGAUGUUGAUGUCUGAUUGCUGUUGUUAGUUAUGUAUCAAUUUAAUUUUGAUUUAUUUACAUGGAUGGUAUAGACUGUAAAAAUGAAUUGCCUCUUUGGGAUGAAUUAAGUUAAUCUGAAUCUGGACUCUGGACAUGUUGAAGCUGAGCUCUCAGCAAGAAAGGUGAAACUGCUACUUCAAACAAGGCACGCCAAGGACCAGGACCCCUGCUGAUUUUUGAUGUCAACAAUCUCCAAAGCACUGCAGCCAGUGUCAGAGUCUGCAUCAAGCAGGAGGUAAUUAACUGGGUUCGAACCCCACCAGAGUCGCCUGACCUGAACCCCACUGAGCACCAUACUCACCCGAGAGGCCUGGAACAACUACAUUGACCACCUGGACAAGGUCAUACUGCAGGUCAUUGCAUUAAAUGGUGAUGCCACUGGGAUGUAGUGAAUUUUCCA